GGUAUUUGGGCCAACCUCCCAUCCGUGUCUAUUGUACCCUGUUGCUUCGGCGGGCCCGCCGCUUGUCGGCCGCCGGGGGGGCGCCUCUGCCCCCCGGGCCCGUGCCCGCCGGAGACCCCAACACGAACACUGUCUGAAAGCGUGCAGUCUGAGUUGAUUGAAUGCAAUCAGUUAAAACUUUCAACAAUGGAUCUCUUGGUUCCGGCAUCGAUGAAGAACGCAGCGAAAUGCGAUAACUAAUGUGAAUUGCAGAAUUCAGUGAAUCAUCGAGUCUUUGAACGCACAUUGCGCCCCCUGGUAUUCCGGGGGGCAUGCCUGUCCGAGCGUCAUUGCUGCCCUCAAGCCCGGCUUGUGUGUUGGGUCGCCGUCCCCCUCUCCGGGGGGACGGGCCCGAAAGGCAGCGGCGGCACCGCGUCCGAUCCUCGAGCGUAUGGGGCUUUGUCACAUGCUCUGUAGGAUUGGCCGGCGCCUGCCGACGUUUUCCAACCAUUCUUUCCAGGUUGACCUCGGAUCAGGUAGGGAUACCCGCUGAACUUAAGCAUAUCAAUAAGCGGAGGAA
rnacentral:rRNA from 1 species